CUCAGUGCUUACAGCAGGCCUCAACCUCAUGUUAUUUCUGGUUAAUGUGAUUAGGUGAGAACCUGGGACUGUGCUGUCAGUGCAUUAGCAGAAGGAAGUAAUGCUUCCUGCAGGAAAGAUGGCAGUUUCGACCUGUUAGAAGCAAGGCAUGAUCUGACUGGAAGAUGAAAACAGAGCAAGCCAAACUGCAGCAGUAACACCAACUCACUCUGCAAGAGCAUAGAGGGGGAUUAUGGCUCGUGGACUGCAGCUAAGAGAUGAGGAAAGCGGCUACAACAAAAAUCUGUUUUGCGUUCCUAAGCAUUACGAAGAAGAUUUAGAAAGAGUCUUCGUUCCUCAUGGAUUCAUCCUGGACAGGACAGAAUGCUUGGCUGGAGAUGUCAUGCAAGACAUGAGAAGUCAUCACCUUGUUGCACUCUGUGUCCUUAAAGGAGGCUAUAAAUUGUUUGCUGAUUUGCUGGAGCAUAUGACAGCACUAAAUCAAAAUGAUGAUAAAUCUGUGCCUGUUACUGUGGAUUCUGUCAGAAUAAAAAGCUACUGCGUAAGCAACUUUCUUUUUUUUGGAAAAUUGACUCUCUCUAUAGACUGGCAUUCUAAAUACUGGUACUUUGCAUGACAGCCCCACAAAAAUUGAG